rnacentral:rRNA from 1 species
GGUCCCAAGGGUUGGGCUGUUCGCCCAUUAAAGCGGUACGCGAGCUGGGUUCAGAACGUCGUGAGACAGUUCGGUCCCUAUCCGUCGCGGGCGCAGGAAAUUUGAGAGGAGCUGUCCUUAGUACGAGAGGACCGGGAUGGACGCACCGCUGGUGUACCAGUUGUCUUGCCAAAGGCAUAGCUGGGUAGCUACGUGCGGACGGGAUAAGUGCUGAAAGCAUCUAAGCAUGAAGCCCCCCUCAAGAUGAGAUUUCCCAUGGCGCAAGCUAGUAAGAUCCCUGAAAGAUGAUCAGGUUGAUAGGUCAGAGGUGGAAGCGUGGCGACAUGUGGAGCUGACUGAUACUAAUAGAUCGAGGACUUAACCAAC